CAGCAAAUAUUUUAUUUAGAAUAUUAAUUUUGGGUAUUAAAGGUGUUAGAUUUCUAUCUUUGUUGA
rnacentral:tRNA from 1 species